UGGGGAAUAUUGCACAAUGGGCGCAAGCCUGAUGCAGCCAUGCCGCGUGUGUGAAGAAGGCCUUCGGGUUGUAAAGCACUUUCAGCGAGGAGGAAGGCGUUAAGGUUAAUAACCUUAGCGAUUGACGUUACUCGCAGAAGAAGCACCGGCUAACUCCGUGCCAGCAGCCGCGGUAAUACGGAGGGUGCAAGCGUUAAUCGGAAUUACUGGGCGUAAAAGCGCACGCAGGCGGUUUGUUAAGUCAGAUGUGAAAUCCCCGAGCUUAACUUGGGAACUGCAUUUGAAACUGGCAAGCUAGAGUCUUGUAGAGGGGGU
rnacentral:rRNA from 1 species